CGGGGCGUAGCGCAGCCUGGUAGCGCGCCAGAUCUGGGAUCUGGAAGUCGAGAGUUCGAAUCUCUCCGCCCCGA
rnacentral:tRNA from 1 species